rnacentral:rRNA from 1 species
UACGUAGGGGGCAAGCGUUAUCCGGAUUUACUGGGUGUAAAGGGAGCGUAGGCGGCAAGGUAAGUCAGAUGUGAAAUCCCGGGGCUCAACUCCGGGACUGCAUUUGAAACUAUUUUGCUAGAGUGCGGGAGAGGUAAGUGGAAUUCCUAGUGUAGCGGUGAAAUGCGUAGAGAUUAGGAGGAACACCAGUGGCGAAGGCGACUUACUGGACCGUAACUGACGCUGAGGCUCGAAAGCGUGGGGAGCAAACAGG